UACAGAUUCAACUAUCUGAAUUCGGCUUGGAUCGUUGUUUCAGAUUUUAUUAAUGAUAUAGAAUCGACAACGAUUCCUUUGUCGUUCUACUUUGAAGUGUUAAUCAGUGGAUCUACCACCUUUGGAGCACUCAUGUGCAGCAAAAACAGGAAUAGCCGACUCCAGGUAAAUGCUUUUCCCAGCUCAAAGGCGAUGACUAGUAGAUUCGGGGCACGAAAGCUGCAUUGAUUUGACUUCUUUGCUUCUGCACAUCACAACCUCAAAUAUAAUCACCAAUAUGAAUAUGUGUAGAAGUUCAACAAGACAUGCCUAGAUGCAGAUUCCAUUGUUGGUGGCUUUCUUAGGGAUGCAACUGAAUUUAACCUACAAGUUGAUACUUUCUUGCUCAAGCUUCACUUUCAGUGGAAAUAUGGUUGGGACUGUGUACUUUUAAAUAGACAAUGUGUUGAUUGUUUUCGGUGACUGGUAUUUGGGUUCUCAAUGCGUUGAUCAUUUUCGUUGAUCGGUAGGUGAGUGUUGAUAAGGAGGAAGUGUUGGUUGUCUAAACGAUGGACUUUGCAAGGCGUUGGUGUAAAAAGUUGAAGCCAAAAGAUAAGUCAAAGUCUUCACCGGAAAAGGAAGGUAGAAUUAAUGGGAAGGAAGGAUUACGAGUAACGAGUGAUGAAGCACCUUCAAAUGCUACUAAACAGAAGGUUGAAGCUGCUAAGCAAUAUAUAAAAAAACAUUACAAGGAGCAAUGAAGAAUCUUAAUGAGCGACGGGAACGGUAUGAAUUUUAUGCAUCUGUUAGUUUGCAUCUUAAUUUGACAUGGCUCUUUGCUCGUGUUGCCUUGUGCUAUGGACUGAAUAUGGUAUUUAAGAGUAAGAAAAAUUUUCCUUUUUUUUUUUUGCUUUUUUAUCUUCUAACGCAUGCAUGCUAUAUAAAUUAAAAUAAUGGGUUCAGUAAUGGGUUAAAAAGGUAACUUUGGUAUGCGUUGAAUGAGUCGUAUUGGGUUGUUUUUUGGUGUUAUAUCUACAAAGGAAUGGGUCCGUCUGUCUGUCAGGAGACUGUAUGUUCAAGGAAAAGAUAUUAACGGAGUCGGACUCUAUGCAAGUUAGCAAUUCAAACAGGAAGGAAAAGUGGGUGCCAUAGUGGUGAUGCUUCACACUGGCGGUACGUUUGGCAUGUUCGGCUUAGCUCAGCGGUACAAGUCUUACUUCUAAAAUUAUGUUCUUCAUACAGGUGUGUCAUAUUGACAACAAUUAUGCGCUUUUCUAAUGGGAAGCCUAUAAUACACAACCAUGCUACACCUUAGUUAAUGUGUGUCUUUCUUUAUAUAUAAUAUAACGUCACAUAGACCUGGAUUGAACAUUUGGGCCCAAAAACAAACUUUGCAUGGUUGAAAAUAUGUAGUGUAGAUUUCAUUUCCCUUUCUAAACGAUGAUGACUAGGUGGUAAUAUGAGUGGGUUGGGUAACGAGUCGAACCAUGUAAUUUUCUAAAUUUUUAGAAUGGUCCGAACUUGCCUGGAUGGUUGGGUUGACAUGCAUUUAUUUUUGUCAUUUCUUAAAAUAAUUUUUAAUUAAAAAAUAACGUGUUAUAUAUGAUUUUGAACACUUAUUUUUACGCAAUCCAAAUUUUUCAAUAAAUCGUUCGAAUACGAAUACAAUUUGGGCUACUUUCAACCUAAAAUUUGAUCAGAAAUAAAAUAUUAACCCAAAUCAACCUCUUCCGGGUCAAAAUUGACUCCUAUUUUUUUACCAACAAAAUUAAAACAUUUAAUUAAAACUUCUCAUAAGUGUUUGAUUCUCUCUUUCA